AUGGCGUGCAGACCGCAUCCCUGUGUGCGCUGGGAAGUCGUUCCCAAGUCCUGUCACCCUCACAGCUCCUGCCGUGGCCCAACUGUUGCCCCUUACUCCGCACAUCGGCUGCCCUGCUCAGCGUGCAGUGAAACGUGGAACCGCAAGAACACACAGUGGAAAGUUAACAAAAACAAUAAACUCACUUUAGGAUCUGUGCUGCUGGACCCCUCCGCCUCCACCCUUAGGCUUCCCUGGGUCUGCCCUCUCCACUGCUCGGCUCUAUGAAUCUGGCCCUUCCCCGCUGCUCCCCUCCCUCUCUCCCUGGGUAUUGUUUGGUAGGAACUGAAAGGCUCCUUCCAUCUUCCCACCCUCGGUGCCAGUGAAAGAAAUCACUGCUCCUAACAGCCAGCCAGUGGCUCUGGCAAAGCCAACCCUGCCACUGUGCCCCCCGGGGGCCAUG
rnacentral:lncRNA from 1 species